AGAUCAUGUCUCUAAACUCACAAAGGAGCCUGGUCUUGGAGGUGACCUAGACAAAGGAAAGUCAUAUUAUGAAAUUUCAUCCUCAAGGAGAAGAGCCACAGCACGACCAUUUCUUUUCCUAUUAGAUUCUGCUUCUUAAACAAACAAACCACUUUGCCUUUACCGUGGGUCCCAGCCACGGGUUUCUCCUGCUCCCAUUAGCUUGCACUGCCUGGAGGGCAUCAUCAAUAGGUCUUCGGAGGCUGUGUUAGCCACGCCCACCAUCUCUAGAAGGAGUGGCGUUAAUAACCCCUAACCACCUGUAAGCCCUGAGUCCUUCACAGCUGUUGCUCCUUUUCUGAACAAACAGAUGAACUCGGGCUUGGAGGCGUCCUGAAAGGUCCGUGGAUCCUCUCUGAGAAGCUCAGAUUUCUCCCCACUCGUCACCAGUUCUGCCUUUUUCCCUCCUGCAAAACCAUCGUCACCACAAUUGAGCCAGACACAGUAGUGUCUGCUACCCACAGGAUAGGAAGUGUGGUCGUCUAACUGCCCAAGGUCAGGACCCAUUUCUGGUCCUUGCUGUAGUGUUUCCAUUCUCGGAAACACACUGCUCUGAGAUCAGAGGAGAGUCUAGCUCCUAAGGUGACUCAGGAGCCGAGAGCACCGGUGGAUUGGGGUCUGCUCGUGUAUUCAUCCCCAGUAUUUCCCCGCGGCCUGGCAGACAGCCGGGAGCAAUAUGGUGUGGUGAAAACAGCAUGGACUUGGGAGUCAGGCCUGGUUUGGAAUCCCAGCUCUGCUGUUUAUACCUGUACAACCUCACCUGAGGAGAAAGCCCCAAGAACCAACCAGAAAUACGAUUCGACAUGAAGAGACACGAAGAAGUAAGAAUACUUUCCAGACCUUCUCGGUUGGGGGCAGCUCUUCAGAGGUCAUGUUACUAAACCUCACAGAGAUAGUGUUAUUAAAGCUCAUAAGACACGG